UACGUAGGGGGCUAGCGUUGUCCGGAUUUAUUGGGCGUAAAGAGCGUGUAGGCGGCCAUACAGGUCCGUUGUGAAAACUGGAGGCUUAACCUCCAGACGUCGAUGGAAACCGUAUGGCUAGAGUCCGGAAGAGGAGAGUGGAAUUCCUGGUGUAGCGGUGAAAUGCGCAGAUAUCAGGAAGAACACCCGUGGCGAAGGCGGCUCUCUGGGACGGUACUGACGCUGAGACGCGAAAGCGUGGGGGAGCGAACAGG
rnacentral:rRNA from 1 species